rnacentral:rRNA from 1 species
AUGGCACGCCUAGUCGUACUGCACAGUGGAGGUCAGCAACGCACAGGACCGCAAGCACACCCAUUUUACAAACAUGUAGAACUCAAUAAUGCACACGGAUAUCGCACGCUGCCCUUAACUGCACGACGAAGCAGCAACCUCACCGGUGGCAGCAAGACUCUAAACUGUGUUGUCGAGAGUAAGGAGCUCCCAAGGUUUUUCUUUUCCUCAUUUUACAUACUGAAUCAACCACCAUCAUGUUCUUUCUCUGGGAGGUUCAGCCGCCGUCCUCAUCCUCGUGCAAGGAAUGGGGUGGGACCUGAGACCCAACCAGGCUACAACGUCUCACCUGCUGAAUCACAACAACCCUAG